rnacentral:rRNA from 1 species
UACGUAGGGUGCAAGCGUUAAUCGGAAUUACUGGGCGUAAAGCGUGCGCAGGCGGUUUUGUAAGACAGAGGUGAAAUCCCCGGGCUCAACCUGGGAACUGCCUUUGUGACUGCAAGGCUAGAGUACGGCAGAGGGGGAUGGAAUUCCGCGUGUAGCAGUGAAAUGCGUAGAUAUGCGGAGGAACACCGAUGGCGAAGGCAAUCCCCUGGGCCUGUACUGACGCUCAUGCACGAAAGCGUGGGGAGCAAACAGGAUUAGAUACCCUGGUAGUCCACGCCCUAAACGAUGUCAACUGGUUGUUGGGUCUUCAUUGACUCAGUAACGAAGCUAACGCGUGAAGUUGACCGCCUGGGGAGUACGGCCGCAAGGUUAAAACUCAAAUGAAUUGACGGGG